rnacentral:rRNA from 1 species
UACGGAGGGUGCAAGCGUUAUCCGGAUUCACUGGGUUUAAAGGGUGCGUAGGUGGGCAGGUAAGUCAGUGGUGAAAUCCCCGAGCUUAACUUGGGAACUGCCGUUGAUACUAUCUGUCUUGAAUAUUGUGGAGGUGAGCGGAAUAUGUCAUGUAGCGGUGAAAUGCUUAGAUAUGACAUAGAACACCAAUUGCGAAGGCAGCUCACUACACAAUCAUUGACGCUGAGGCACGAAAGCGUGGGGAUCAAACAGG